GAUGAACGCUGGCGGCGUGCCUAAUACAUGCAAGUCGAGCGAACAGACGAGGAGCUUGCUCCUCUGACGUUAGCGGCGGACGGGUGAGUAACACGUGGAUAACCUACCUAUAAGACUGGGAUAACUUCGGGAAACCGGAGCUAAUACCGGAUAAUAUAUUGAACCGCAUGGUUCAAUAGUGAAAGACGGUUUUGCUGUCACUUAUAGAUGGAUCCGCGCCGCAUUAGCUAGUUGGUAAGGUAACGGCUUACCAAGGCAACGAUGCGUAGCCGACCUGAGAGGGGGAUCGGCAACACUGGAACUGAGACACGGUCCAGACUCCUACGGGAGGCAGCAGUAGGGAAUCUUCCGCAAUGGGCGAAAGCCGGACGGAGCAACGCCGCGUGAGUGAUGAAGGUCUUCGGAUCGUAAAACUCUGUUAUUAGGGAAGAAAAAAUGUGUAAGUAACAAUGCACGUCUGGACGGUACCUAAUCAGAAAGCCACGGUUAACUACGG
rnacentral:rRNA from 1 species